rnacentral:rRNA from 1 species
CACGUAGGGUGCGAGCGUUGCCCGGAUUUAUUGGGCGUAAAGGGCGCGCAGGCGGUACGGCACGUCCGUUGUGAAAUCGCUCGGCUCAACUGGGCGGGGUCAGCGGAUACGGCCGCACUCGAGCAAGCUAGGGGGCAAUGGAAUUCCCGGUGUAGUGGUGGAAUGCGUAGAUAUCGGGGGGAACACCAGUGGCGAAGGCGGUUGCCUGGAGCUUUGCUGACGCUGAGGCGCGAAAGCGUGGGGAGCGAUCCGG